rnacentral:rRNA from 1 species
ACACGACCGUACCGCAAACCGACACUGGUGCGCGAGAUGAGUAUUCUAAGGCGCUUGAGAGAACUCAGGAGAAGGAACUCGGCAAAUUGACACCGUAACUUCGGAAGAAGGUGUGCCUUUAGUAGGUGAAGUCCCUCGCGGAUGGAGCCCAAUGAGGUUGCAAAAAAUCGGUGGCUGCGACUGUUUAUUAAAAACACAGCACUCUGCAAACACGAAAGUGGACGUAUAGGGUGUGACGCCUGCCCGGUGCUGGAAGAUUAAAUGAUGGGGUGCAAGCUCUUGAUUGAAGUCCCAGUAAACGGCGGCCGUAACAAUAACGGUCCUAAGGUAGCGAAAUUCCUUGUCGGGUAAGUUCCGACCUGCACGAAUGGCGUAACGAUGGCCACACUGUCUCCUCCUGAGACUCAGCGAAGUUGAAAUGUUUGUGAUGAUGCAAUCUCCCCGCGGAAAGACGGAAAGACCCCAUGAACCUUUACUGUAGCUUUGUAUUGGACUUUGAACAGAUCUGUGUAGGAUAGGUGGGAGGCUUUGAAGCAGGGUCGCUAGAUCUUGUGGAGCCAACGUUGAAAUACCACCCUGGUGUGUUUGAGGUUCUAACCUAGGCCCGUAAUCCGGGUUGGGGACAGUGCAUGGUAGGCAGUUUGACUGGGGCGGUCUCCUCCCAAAGUGUAACGGAGGAGUUCGAAGGUACGCUAGUUACGGUCGGACAUCGUGACGAUAGUGCAAUGGCAUAAGCGUGCUUAACUGCGAGACUGACAAGUCGAGCAGAUGCGAAAGCAGGACAUAGUGAUCCGGUGGUUCUGUAUGGAAGGGCCAUCGCUCAACGGAUAAAAGGUACUCUGGGGAUAACAGGCUGAUACCGCCCAAGAGUUCAUAUCGACGGCGGUGUUUGGCACCUCGAUGUCGGCUCAUCUCAUCCUGGGGCUGUAGCCGGUCCCAAGGGUAUGGCUGUUCGCCACUUAAAGAGGUACGUGAGCUGGGUUUAAAACGUCGUGAGACAGUUUGGUCCCUAUCUUCCGUGGGCGCUGCAGAUUUGAGGAAGCCUGCUCCUAGUACGAGAGGACCGGAGUGGACGCACCUCUGGUGUAUCGGUUGUCACGCCAGUGGCAUUGCCGAGUAGCUAUGUGCGGAAGAGAUAACCGCUGAAAGCAUCUAAGCGGGAAACUCGUUUCAAGAUGAGAUCUGCCGGGGCCUUGAGCCCCCUGAAGAGUCGUUCAAGACCAGGACGUUGAUAGGUCGGGUGUGGAAGCGCAGUAAUGCGUUAAGCUAACCGAUACUAAUUGCUCGUGCGGCUUGACCUA